UCUUGUUGGGCUUGAAGAGUAACUGAAAAUACAGCAGACAGCAUUUAGCUGAAGUGCAGCAUUGUUAUUAAAUGAUUUUAAACAAUAAAAGUAAUGUACAAACUGAAAGCAGACUCUGAUACAGUAUGCAGGCAAGCUCCUAUAAUGGACAAAAUCAAUUGAUACAUUUCAUACAUAGAAAUCCAAAGCUGUUCAGGACAUCAACUAACAAAUAUCUAAGAAAUUAACAGUGGCCAGUCUGUUCAUAUCUUUGAUGCUACACCAUUAUAACCUUUGUCGAUAUGUAUCCUAAAACAUAUAUACUCAUAUACAUAAUAUACCUAAAGAAUUUCUAGUUUAAAUAGUGGAUAAUUCCUGUCAAAAGAAUAUGACAAAGCAAAAAAAGUAGAACCUCUGAUGACACAUGAGUCCCAAG
rnacentral:misc_RNA from 1 species